rnacentral:rRNA from 1 species
GAUGAACGCUGGCGGCGUGCCUAAUACAUGCAAGUCGAGCGAACAGACGAGGAGCUUGCUCCUCUGACGUUAGCGGCGGACGGGUGAGUAACACGUGGAUAACCUACCUAUAAGACUGGGGUAACUUCGGGAAACCGGAGCUAAUACCGGAUAAUAUAUUGAACCGCAUGGUUCAAUAGUGAAAGACGGUUUUGCUGUCACUUAUAGAUGGAUCCGCGCCGCAUUAGCUAGUUGGUAAGGUAACGGCUUACCAAGGCAACGAUGCGUAGCCGACCUGAGAGGGUGAUCGGCCACACUGGAACUGAGACACGGUCCAGACGCCUACGGGAGGCAGCAGUAGGGAAUCUUCCGCAAGGGGCGAAAGCUUGACGGAGCAACGCCGCGUGAGUGAUGAAGGUCUUCGGAUCGUAAAACUCUGUUAUUAGGGAAGAACAAAUGUGUAAGUAACUAUGCACGUCUUGACGGUACCUAAUCAGAAAGCCACGGCUAACUACGU